CUCUCUCUCUCAGGAACUACUUUGUGCAGCUUUUUUUUUUGAUUGGGCAUGAGAUUUUCUGCCAUAAUCCACGCAUUCUUUGCUUCAACAGUGACAUGAAAUGAAAAGUCUGGUAAAAGUCUGAAUCCAAGUUGAUCGAUUCUUUGAAGUGCUGGAAUAAUCUGACUGUAUAUGAAGUUCAUAAUUUAAAUGCAUAGAUACACAUCUUAAGGGAUUGAAUGAUGUUGGUAAAAAUGUGUCAUGCUAUAUAGUUUGUCUUGUUAUUUGUCAUUAUUUUUUGUAUGAGAUUUGCAGUUGUAAAGUAGUGUUGUCUUUUAUUUUCAGGAACAGUUGAAAGCUUUGAUCAAAGCUUUAAUCGUAUAUAGAAUUUGAGUUGUUCUUACGAUCACAUUAUCUUUUUGUUCAAAAGGUGGUCAUGAAGCUACUCUCAUAUGAGGUUGAUUCAAUGAAUGUAGUAAAGCUGUCCUAUUUCUCUAUCCGAUGGAAGUGCUUCAUUAGCCCUUGUUGCAUGAGCGUAAAGCUGAAAUGGUUAGAGAAGCUGAUGCUUUUAUUGAUCUUCCAGCUGAUGCUUUUAUUUGGAUUGUCUCUGUGUUGAAUGCUGCUAAGGGUGCUGUUGUUAUUACCAAAUCUCUGCUGAUGUUGUGCUUAAUCUUUACCAAAAGUGAUGCAUAUGAUGGGGCUACCCUGCCUUUGAUGUUUCCUCCUACCAUCAGUCAUUGUUUACUCCUACAUCAGAGCAUUGUUGUUCCAUUUUGCAGUCUAUUUUGUUGGAUACUCUUAUGUUACUAAUUAUGGACAUGGAGCUUGUAUCUUUUAUUUGGCUUAUUAAGCUAUGCAUUAUUCCUUCUACACCCCAUCUGCAAAAGUUAUUAAACCAUUAGACUUGUUUCUGUAGAAGAUCUGAACUGGAGUUAAGGUUGGGUUGCGUCCUUGCCUAAAUACCAAGUAAUAAGGUUUUGUGAAUGGAACAGAUUCCAUACCAGACUAACAAAGCCUCUCUUGUUGAGAAAAUUGCCGAGCUUGUGGAAAAUAAGGAGCAUCUUUAGUAGCUAUGGUGGAAAUUAAAGAAGGGCUUCAAGUGUGGCAUUGGGCCAUGGAUAACAAUAUUGUGGAAGUCUGCAUCCCUACUAAUUGUGCGAUUUUUGUGCAAGGCCUCAGAAAUUCAGAAGCUGCAGAUGCUAGUUUACAAAUAGUUAGAUUUCUCUUAUUUAUUUAUGUGUGUAUGUCUUUUUGUUUUGUUAAAAUGACUAGAACUGAAGUUAAAACUGCUCAUGACAUUGGUUGGGCAGUUAUGCUAUCGUUGUAAGUUUUUU